GGGCCGUUAGCUCAGUUGAUAGAGCGUUCGGUUUGCAUCCGAAAGGUCGUGGGUUUGAAUCCCGCACGGUCCA
rnacentral:tRNA from 1 species